CAAUACUUAGUGGCAGACGGGUGAGUAACAUGUAGGCAUCUGCCCUUUGGCCUGGAAUAACACGAGGAAACUUGUGCUAAUACCGGAUAAGUCUUUACGGAGAAAGCUUUAUGCACCAUUGGAUGAGCCUGCACUUGAUUAGUUUGUUGGUGGGGUAAUGGCCUACCAAGACUGUGAUCAAUAGCUGAUUUGAGAGGAUGAUCAGCCACAUUGGGACUGAGACACGGCCCAAACUCCUACGGGAGGCAGCAGUGGGGAAUCUUGCACAAUGGAGGAAACUCUGAUGCAGCGAUGCCGCGUGAGUGAAGAAGGCCCUUGGGUUGUAAAGCUCUUUCGUCGGGGAAGAAAAUGACUGUACCCGAAUAAGAAGGUCCGGCUAACUUCGUGCCAGCAGCCGCGGUAAUACGAAGGGACCUAGCGUAGUUCGGAAUUACUGGGCUUAAAGAGUUCGUAGGUGGUUGAAAAAGUUAGUGGUGAAAUCCCAGAGCUUAACUCUGGAACUGCCAUUAAAACUUUUCAGCUAGAGUAUGAUAGAGGAAAGCAGAAUUUCUAGUGUAGAGGUGAAAUUCGUAGAUAUUAGAAAGAAUACCAAUUGCGAAGGCAGCUUUCUGGAUCAUUACUGACACUGAGGAACGAAAGCAUGGGUAGCGAAGAGGAUUAGAUACCCUCGUAGUCCAUGCCGUAAACGAUGUGUGUUAGACGUUGGAAAUUUAUUUUCAGUGACGCAGGGAAACCGAUAAACACACCGCCUGGGGAGUACGACCGCAAGGUUAAAACUCAAAU
rnacentral:rRNA from 1 species